GCCAGGCACAUGCCUGUAAUCCCAGUUACUAAGGAGGCUGAAGCAGGAGGGCUGCCUGGCCCCAGGGGAGUGUGCUGUGCAGAUGGUGUGUCCACGCUGAAUUCAGCAUCGAUAUAGUGACUUAUUGGGAAUGAGUGGCCACAGAUCGCUUACGGAGAGAUGAACCGGCUCCUGUGGCAAAUACAGCAGGUCAAAACUCUCAUGUUGAUCAGUCAUAGGCUUGUGCUUGUGAACAGACGCUGCACUCCAGCCUGUGCAACAUAGCAAGUCCCUAUCUCUG
rfam:Otolemur garnettii contig125849, whole genome shotgun sequence.